UACGUAGGUGGCAAGCGUUGUCCGGAUUUAUUGGGUUUAAAGGGUGCGUAGGCGGCCCUGUAAGUCAGUGCUGAAAUAUCCCGGCUUAACCGGGAGGGUGGCAUUGAUACUGCGGGGCUAGAGUACAGAUGAGGUAGGCGGAAUUGACGGUGUAGCGGUGAAAUGCUUAGAUAUCGUCAAGAACACCUAUAGCGAAGGCAGCUUACUAGGCUGUAACUGACGCUGAGGCACGAAGGCCAGGGGAGCAAACGGG
rnacentral:rRNA from 1 species